AUUGAACGCUGGCGGCAGGCUUAACACAUGCAAGUCGAGCGGGGGAAGGUAGCUUGCUACCGGACCUAGCGGCGGACGGGUGAGUAAUGCUUAGGAAUCUGCCUAUUAGUGGGGGACAACACCUCGAAAGGGAUGCUAAUACCGCAUACGUCCUACGGGAGAAAGCAGGGGAUCUUCGGACCUUGCGCUAAUAGAUGAGCCUAAGUCGGAUUAGCUAGUUGGUGGGGUAAAGGCCUACCAAGGCGACGAUCUGUAGCGGGUCUGAGAGGAUGAUCCGCCACACGGGGACUGAGACACGGCCCAGACUCCUACGGGAGGGAGCAGUGGGGAAUAUUGGACAAUGGGGGGAACCCUGAUCCAGCCAUGCCGCGUGUGUGAAGAAGGCCUUAUGGUUGUAAAGCACUUUAAGCGAGGAGGAGGCUACUUUAGUUAAUACCUAGAGAUAGUGGACGUUACUCGCAGAAUAAGCACCGGCUAACUCUGUGCCAGCCGCCGCAGUAAGAC
rnacentral:rRNA from 1 species